GUGAGGGGGGAGCUGUCGAAGGUGGGACUGGCGAUUGGGACUAAGUCGUAACAAGGUAGCCGUACCGGAAGGUGCGGCUGGAUCACCUCCUUUCU
rnacentral:rRNA from 1 species